GAUUGCUUAUGCUGUAUACAAAGUGCAUCCAGAUGGUGUCCUUACUAACGGCGAAUUGUCUUGUCUUUUGAGAUUACUGUUGUUGUACAAAGAAUGGAGGGAGGGAAGAACAAGCAGCUAGUCACUUGAGGAACUAACGGUAUAGAAGUGAAGGUAGAAGAAAAAUAAUAAAAGGAAAAGAAGGGACUUCAGGGAAUGGGGACAAAUUGACAAUACAAUUGAUUAACACGAAGCAAAAUCGGUGAACUAAGCUUCAAGGGCAAAAACCUAGGUGUAACUGAGUGAUGCAAGAAAUCUUGCUUAGGGGCAUAUCACAACAUCUACAAGGAAAAGAACAAGGAGCACAAGCGAACAUCAAUGCACAAUGAAAAUUAGUACUGGUGAGUUUCCAUAGUUUAGAAAUCUUUUUUAAAAUGUUGAUUGCCUUUAUUCACUUUGAGUUUUGUCAUCAGCAUCGACCAAUUGAAACCUGAUUUGGUAGUUCAGUUUGUCCAUAGGGAUCCAAGUGUAGACCCGGAUGUUUGGUACCUUACUGAAUUUUGCUGCUGAGAUAUAAGCUUAGAGAUUAAACAUA